UACGUAUGGGGCAAGCGUUGUCCGGAAUCAUUGGGCGUAAAGAGCGUGUAGGCGGCUCGAUAAGUCCGCUCUGAAAGCCCGGGGCUCAACCCCGGGAGGCGGGCGGAUACUGUCGAGCUAGAGUCCGGAAGAGGCGAGUGGAAUUCCUGGUGUAGCGGUGAAAUGCGCAGAUAUCAGGAGGAACACCAAUGGCGAAGGCAGCUCGCUGGGACGGUACUGACGCUGAGACGCGAAAGCGUGGGGAGCAAACAGG
rnacentral:rRNA from 1 species